UAAAAAGUCUAACAUAAAAAAAAAAUAGUCCAGUUAAAUACUGACUGAAGUCCAGGAACUUAUGAUUUCAGCACAGUGAAUGGUGAUUCAGCCCCUGGCAGUGUUUUGGCUAUGAGACAAUUCCUACUUAUAAAGAGCACAAUGAGGGUGGGGGGAAGAUAGCAUUAAUUUUGAGGAAGAUUAAUAUUAGUCUUUUUAAUGAUCAUGAUUUUCAGAAGAAAAGAACCCUUAUAGCUAUUGAGAGCUGUUGUGUCCUUCCCACUAGUAUUUAUGCAAGCAAAGGAAAAAAUGAAGAAGGCGUAGAAUAAACUCCUAAGUCUGUUCAAGAAUUACUGGCAUUAUUUCUCUCUACAUCACGUGUGAGCCUGGGUUGCCUGCUAUUCCUGAGGCAGAGGAUCGAGGAUGAAAGUCUGUGUGUCAGAGCCUGUUUUCACAACUGCAUUUGGAGAUCUGUCUUAUUGAUUAGGAAAAAAAGGGGGUGGGAAUAGGAGUGUGAGGUGAGGGGAGGACCGACUGACUACUGGCUUAUUGCAGCUCAAGACAUUUUCUUCCGGAAAGAUGUCAAACAACUGAGACACAGCAACAGAGGAAGUAGAAAGGUGGAAAAAUAAGAAGAGGGACCCUUUGGAAGAAAUGAAGGCAUUCCUUAUGAGAGCCUUGAGGCUUUUUUUUCUUCUAACAUCUGACCCACAAGGGCUAGAGUGACAGCGUCAUGCAAAUGCUGCAGUCCAGCAGGUCUGAGAGAGGGUGGAUGCUAGAGACUGAACGGCUUCCCGAAGAGCACUGAGUUUUCUAUACCAGAUUCUGCUCCAAUGGCUAGGACCUUUAUGGCUGCUGUUUCUUUUGCUCUGGGCUCUGAUGGAGGAAAAAUAAUAAUAAUAAUAACACCGUGGAUCCCGUCCCUAAAGUAGAAAUUUUCUUUUUCCUUCUGCAAACAAGGCUAAAGAUCGGAGGAGAAUGAAUGCGAAAGUAAUUCGGGAUUGUGGUCAUGCCAUUAAAAGUGUUCGGCUUCAGAACGAAAUUAUUUUGGAAAUCCUAUCAUUUCUUCUUACUGUAUCGACAGUAUUUGAAAGUUGUGUGUGCUUUGAGUAAUCUGGUUCAAGUGACAACAAUCUCUGCAUGUCAGUGUUUUCUACAGUUUAUGGAGCGAAAGCUUGUUUUGACAUUGGAAAGGAAGAAGCUUUUGCUAGCAGAAGGAUUAAAUGUUGAACGUGGGGAAGAGCAAAAAGUAAAUACAUGCCCAGAGGUUAUCCUUGCAUCGAGAAGGGGUUUAAAGUACUGUGUAACCCAGGGCCCACCUGAACAGGAGGACUGAAAGUAUAAUGGGGAAAUAUAUCAAUUAGAAACCCGUUAACAUGCAUUUAAUCCUUCUUUAUGGCAUUAAGGGAAAUAGAAUAAAAUUGCUACUGUAUGAAUCUGUUGGAAGAAGCAUAUUUUAACCCAUUUUUAGAUGCUUCCUUCCGAGGCAUUAUAAUAUGGCUACUUGUGUGUCAAGGCAGUGAAGAUUUUUGCUGUGUUUUGAUUUUGCUUUUCAAAAGUUAUGGACUGUACUCUAAGAAAAGUCUGUUCAGUCAGCUGAUACAUUGUCUUGAAUGUAUGUAUGUGUCUUGCCUGCUUAUUUGAUCUUUUCUGCCCCCUACGUGAACCUGUGGUGUGUUUAUUUGGGUGGGAGGAGGGGUUGUUGACUGGGGGGUGUUGUAUCUUGUUUGUUUGUUUGUUUGUUUGUUUUGGUUGUGUUUUCUUUCCUUUUUUUUUUUUUUUUUUUUUAAUCUACAAUAGCAGUGAAAGUUUUGCUGACAGCGAUUAUGACUACUAAACAAUUCAGAUUAUUGGAAGACGAAUUCUACUGGAUCAUAUCAGACUUUUCCUAGUCCCUGAGACCCUAACUUGUGAGGUUUUUUAGCAACAAUCACAAGUCAGGCUCUUGGGACCUAGGCGGAGGGGAACCAGCAGCUUUGGACUAUGAUUGUUUCUCUGCAGAAUUUAGAGAACCAAAGAAGCUUUCCCUGUCUGGAAGGAAAAAAAUGAAAACAUACCUUUGUUAAUAUACUGGAAAAUAUACAAAAUGUGAAGCAGCAAACCUCUUCCUAAAAAAAAAAAAAAAAAAAAAAAAUUAAAACUGUUAAUACAUUGUGCAACUUUAGCGUGUUACAUAUUUAUAUUUAGAAGACUGGACUAGAUGCCAUGUUAAUAUUAGUAUUAAAAUUUAAACUGAAUGAAGUUUGUACCUCCAAAAACAGAAAUAAAAAAUAAAAAAAUAAAAAAUAAAAAACAAGCAAAAUCCACCAGAUACUGAAAUAUACAAAAGGCUUUCAACCAUAUUAUUAUUAUAGGCAAUACUGGUAGAUAAUUACCACAAAGUAUAUUUUCAGCUGUAUUGUUACAGCAUUUAAUUAACUUUUAAAACAUAGAACACACUGAUGUUUGAGGCCUAGAAACAUUCAUUCUAUUGUUGUCUGAGAAAUGAUUUCAGUCUACAGGAGAACUAUUGCUAAGCUUUUCCUGUAAUAUAGGACAAAGAUUGUUUUACGGUUAGUUGCCAUUAUUUUUCUUUGUCUGAGUGAGAACACAAUAUCAAAUGUAAAAUAUUGUCUCAAUUUACAUUUUAAUCUGAUAGAGAACAUUGGUGUAAAAAUCAUACUACAGCAUUAAGAUGAUUUUGCAAACAAAAUCACAUUGUGUGUACCUGAUAAAUUUAAACAGAGCUGGCAGUACUCUGAGAACCAGACUCAACUUCUAACCUCUUCAUCAUUUUGCAUUGUUUUCCCCACUGGCAAAAACAGUGAGCUUUAGGUACUUACACUGACUUUGCAUAUGAAGAUUUACAAGGGCAUUAGUUAUUCUGCGCUGUUCAUUAGUCUUGAACUUCUUAUUUACAAUGCAUAAUUUGACUUGUAUUUCUUAAUAUUUUAUAGGUGGGUUAGUUCUGAUUCAUUUUUCACUGUUUCCUGUGUCUAAACCAAGAUGCUGCAGGACCUUGUUGAUACAUCAGACUUCCCUGAGACAAAGGCUUCACACAGAUCAGGCAUCUAAACUAUUUGUUCAUUUCAGAAGCGGUAUUUUGGCUGCAGUGUUUUUUUCCCACUUGUGUGGGAGGAAUUGUGUUUUACUGUAAGCAUCAAUACUAUUGUUAAAAUAAAUUGUUCUUAUCUGCUAAUA